rnacentral:sRNA from 12 species
AUGACUUGUGAUAAAACUAUAUUAAUUUCACCAUAAUUACCAUAAAAAAAAUCAAAAAGGAAUUAUGGGAAAAC